GGAGUAAGGAGAAAUUUGGGCACAGUCAUAGUCUGAAGAAACUGCAAAGAGCUCGUCACAGGUUUGUGUUAGGGGAGUUUGCUGUCACUGAUGAGGAUGCAAGUUUGAGGGACAUGUAACUAUUUUGCAUGUACUGUAUGGCAAGAUGCUACCAGAUACCUUGAUUGUUAAAGACUGGAUGCAGCAAACUUUUUCAUGGCGGAGAAGGGAGACAGAAGAUGGAAUGACUGGUGGAUAAAAACUCUCCAAUUUAUGUGAUGAAAUUGACCGAAUCCAUUCAUCAACUGUCCAGUGCUUCAAGGAGGGCUUCACUAGUACUGUGCAUGAGCUUGCACUAAGAAAAAUCCUUUUGGCCAAAAUAUACAAUGAAGCAAGAGAGGAGAUGCUUGCAGAAGAUCUUCCAGUGUGAUGCUGAUACACCAUAUGAAAAUGAAUUUCACUAGGACGGUUCAAGCAUACUUUCUUUUUUAACAUUACUUUUUUUGCCCUAUAUGAAAAAUAUGCUCACUUCCUGCAAUGUGCUAUUGCAAAGAUAUGAGUCAAGAAUCAUUCAAAGACGUCCUGUAUUCCAGAAAAGACUAUUAACACCGAAAAAUAAAAAUUUCAUAUUAAACUCACCCUCAUGAUGUUUCAAACCUGUAUGACUUUCUUUUCUUAUGUGGGGACAGAAAAGGAGAUAUUUUAAUGAAUAUCACAGCCCACCCUUUCAAUGCAAUGGCGGUGGAUAGAGGCUCAAUUUAAAGCUUAGAGGACCCAAAAUGUGUCAUAAAAGUAGUCCAUGUGACUUGUGCGUCUAAUUUUUUAUGAUGUCUGAAGGCAUAUGAUAAUUUCUUUUUUGUGAGAAACAACCUGAAAUGAGAGAAGCUCCUUCAAAGUGGUUUGUGUGUUCACGCGUUAAUUUUGUUCUUUUUUUUUAAGCUUUAAAUUGAGGUACUGUCAACUGCCAUUGUGUUGAAAAGAUAGCCUGUGAUGUUCAUUAAAACCUCCUAAAAUUUAUUUUUAGGUGAGUAUUAAAGGGUACUUAAGUUAAAAUGAAAUGUGUAGUAAUAUUUUUAAAGCGAAAUGGCUAAAAAUAAAUAUGUAUCCUACUGUA